AAAGCCCCGGCUAAAUACGUGCCAGCAGCCGCGGUAAUACGUAUGGGGCAAGCGUUAUCCGGAAUUAUUGGGCGUAAAGAGUGCGUAGGUGGUUACCUAAGCGCAAGGUUUAAUCUUGAGGCUCAACCUCAUUCUGCCUUGCGAACUGGGCUACUUGAGUGCAGGAGGGGAAAGCGGAAUUCCCAGUGUAGCGGUGAAAUGCGUAGAUAUUGGGAAGAACACCGGUGGCGAAGGCGGCUUUCUGGACUGUAACUGACACUGAGGCACGAAAGCGUGGGGAGCAAACAGGAUUAGAUACCCUGGUAGUCCACGCCGUAAACGAUGAGCACUAGUUGUUGGGUACGAAUGUAUUCAGUGACGCAGUUAACGCAAUAAGUGCUCCGCCUGGGGAGUACGGUGGCAACACUAAAACUCAAAGGAAUUGACGGGGACCCGCACAAGCAGCGGAGCAUGUGGUUUAAUUCGAAGCAACGCGAAAAACCUUACCAGGGCUUGACAUCCCUCUGACCGGAUCUUAACCGAUCCUUUCUUCGGACAGAGGUGACAGGUGGUGCAUGGUUGUCGUCAGCUCGUGUCGUGAGAUGUUGGGUUAAGUCCCGCAACGAGCGCAACCCUUGUCGUCAGUUACUAACAUUCGGUUGAGGACUCUGACGAGACUGCCGAGGUCAACUCGGAGGAAGGUGGGGAUGACGUCAAAUCAUCAUGCCCCUUAUGUUCUGGGCUACACACGUGCUACAAUGGUCGGUACAAUGAGACGCAAUACAGUGAUGUGGAGCAAAUCACCAAAACCGAUCCCAGUUCGGAUUGCAGGCUGCAACUCGCCUGCAUGAAGUCGGAGUUGCUAGUAAUCGCGAAUCAGCAUGUCGCGGUGAAUGCGUUCCCGGGUCUUGUACUCACCGCCCGU
rnacentral:rRNA from 1 species